GGGGACGUAGCUCAGUUGGCUAGAGCACCUGCUUUGCAAGCAGGGGGUCGUGGGUUCGAGUCCCAUCAUCUCCA
rnacentral:tRNA from 1 species